UCGGAGACGCUGAGGGGUAGAGAGGGGGAGAUGCGAAGAUUGAAAGGGAUCUUUGCAAACACAAUCACGUUCUUAAAUGGAAAUGUGGGGCUUUAAACAAAUCUUACAUCUCUCCUGUUCCAGUCGUCUAAAACUCCGCAAUCAGGCACACGUUCGACUCCAUCUAAAACCACAGCUUUUUUUAGAAGAUUUUUUUGGCUUUUGCGAGGAAAUGUGCCAUCACAUACGCAGAAUUCAGGCAUCAAACCAAAAGGCUUCUCUGUGGACUAAUGGAGCUGAAAGCUGAUGAUGAUGAUAGAGAAAAUAUCAUGCAAACAUAAUUUGCCUUCUGUGAAAACAGAUGCAGAGAAAAAAAAGGCUCAAAGAAGAACGAAUGACUUGCUUUGGAGACAUCUGAGAAGUCCACUGAAAGAGCUAAUGAUGGGAUCAAGGGGCAUUUGUAUAUGAAUUCAACCGUAUUAUAUCAAGAAAGGCUGCUUUAGCAACAGAUGCUUUGAGAUCACCACAAUAUGCUUGCACUGAACUUCUAGCCACAGGGUUACAUGUGUGUUUUGGACUGGUUAGGAGAUGGCAAACAGCAGAGUGGCCAGACCAGCUCCAGCCCGAAAAGGGUCACGACCAGACACCAAGUGCUCCUGUCUCGAUGUCGUCGGUGGGCAAGCACUAACUGAAUUAAAUUAGACUGCUUUUAAUUGAGGAUUGACCGGUCUGAGAGCAGCUGGUGCUUGGGUCAGUCAAGAUAGCAAAGCCUGAAUCCCCCAGGCCCCAACUGCAAUUUCAGCCCUGCAGGUCCUGGAAUGGACUGGGAGGGAGAAAAGGCCAGAGCAUGCUGGGAAUGCAUGGCUGAUGAUUAGCAAUAAGAGUUUAUAGGAAGGCUUAGACGAGAUUUGGCUUGUUUGCUUGAGUGGAAAGUGUAACUCACACACUCAGAGCCUGUAGACUCAGUGUAAAUCCGCUUAAGGUUUGCACUUUGCUGAAAAUCUCCUCAAUCGACACAAUUAAUCGCUUCAUUAAUUAACAAUCGCUGCAUGAUACACCACCCCGACUGUGUCCUGGCAAGCGUGCAACUUACAAGCGACCCUUCUUUUUCUUCUUAUGUUCCCUUCUUUCACUCUUCCCACCUGCUCUGAUACUCCUCUUUUUAUCUUUUUCUUCUGCACGCCUUUUCUUUUCCUUCUCUAAGCAGCAUUGCCAAUGCAGACUCUGCUGUUUUAGCAUGAACAGACACACUUUUCUUUCAGCAAGCAGGUCAGAGCGCUCUGCUAACAUUUGUUAUCUAUAAUCCUGCAGGUCCCCACGCAAAAAGAGCGUAGUUAACUCUUGCAAAGCCCUAAUCCCUCCAUUUCUUUUAGAUGCGCUUUCUCUCUCAUGCUCUUUUCUUUUCCAUCUUUGGGGUGGGGAAGUGUUUUUUAAGAGGAGGCAUCUUUGAUUGUGGCCCUUAUUUUUGAGUUCUUCUGAAUUACCAAACUUCUUUAACCUUCAAAAUUAUCUACCUUUUCUGCCAAUUAAAAAUAUUUAGAUUUUUUUGUUUUUUAUCACACUCCAAUGCUGAAGAAUCGUUUCGGGCUGCCACCAGCCGCCCAUGCUUUUAUGACAGGCUUUGUUGAUUUGUUUUUCAUACUCCUUGUGUGCAGAAAUCUGUGUAUUCAUACUGUAUGCAUUUACGGUUCAACUGUCGGUGUCAGUUAAUCUGGCUUGUGCUGUUGAUUUAUCUCAGUAACAUUCAAGGAUCUGUGCAAAAAAAAAAAAUUUUUUUUUUCUUUUGCCAUCACUCUCAAUUAUAUAUGCGCUGAUUUGAUUUGAGUUUGAUACUAUGGAAAUUAUGUAUAUGAAUGCUCUCGUGCAGUUCUGCUGCAUUUUGUCUUGGUCAUGCACACCCACACAUGUAGUGAGCACGUUGAAGUGUGUGUGUGUGUGUGUGUGUGUGUGUGUGUGUGUGUGUGUGUGUGUUGUAUGGUGAGUAAUAGCAGGGCUCAGUGGAAGGCUGUAGUGUUGACAGCAUGGUAAACGAUGCAGCCUGCCUACUGCAGCAGCUAGCCUGCUAAUCACACACACCACAUGAUAAUGAGAACAACCCCUGUCCUCCAACACACACACAUACGUCUAACCACAGCAAACAGACACAAACUCCCUCUCACACACACUGACCCAUACUUCUACAGACAAAUGGAAGACAUAAUGGUAGCCGGAGGCAGUGCACGGUGAAUCUCUCUAUCUCUCUCUCUUACACUCUCGAACCAAGCACAUCUCUAUCGCUUUACUGUCCUUACACACAUACAUACACUCUUCUCUCUCAUACUAACAUCUUUCUGUCAGAAAAGACUCGGACUUGAGCCACACUUACACUAAGAAAGUGACUUGAGAUUUGAUGUAGAAUCACAGGCAGUUAAGAUGGGACUUCAGAGACUUGUAAGUUUUUAGGUCUACAAGGCAAUGUGUUUUCUUGAAACAACCCAACAUUUUAUAGAGUGUUUGAUCAGAAAUACAAUAAAAACAAUAAAAAGUAUUAUUGGAAAAUAUUACUGCAAUUUAUAAUAACUAUUUUCUAUUUUAAUAUAUCUAAAAAUGUUAUUUAUUGAUCUGAUGUCAAAGCUGACUUUUCAGCAGCUAUUGUUCCAGUUUCCAGUGUCACACAAUCCUUCAGGAACCAUUGUAAUAUGCUGUUUUGGUUUUUAUUCAAGAAUACAAAAUCUUACUAUUAUUAUCAGUGUUACAUUUAUUUAUUAAUUUUUUUUUUUUAGGAUUCUUUGAUGAAUAGAAAAAAAACAACAAAUAUGUAUAUAUAAAUAUAUAUUUAUCGCUUUUCCUCCAUUAAAUGCUUUUUUGUCCCCUGAAAGCUGCUUUAAAGUAUACAAUAUAAACAACAUAUUACAUGUGAUAUAUCACACUUUCCUGCUAAGGGGAUGAGGAGGACCUGAAAAAGAAAGGAAGCAUGUAAACCCUCAAACUCAGUUCCAUGGGUACAAGAUUUUGAGUCACAGCUUCUUUCUCAAGGUAGCUGUGGACCUAUGAGGGAUUUCAGUUCAGCUCUCUCCCUCACAACCCAAAAAAGUUUCAGUUGUAGAUGCAAUAGAGAGUCCCUCAACAGUCCCUACUCUGUUAGCCCAUCAGGACACUUUGCUGUUGCAUGGGGAGUCAGAAACAAAGAACAACUAUUUACUGUGGCACAAACCUCAGCUCUCGAAUUUCAAGAUGUUUGAAGACUGUGCCAGGAAUCGAAAAAUAGCAGGGCAAUUUGUUUGAGAUCAUGUGCAGAUUUAUGAACAUUACCUGUGAUUAACACGUUUAUAAAUUAGGAAAUUGUUUCCUGGAAAAUGUGCACUCCACGGAAUGACAAUGUGCAAAUGUGUUCGUUCAUUUUAAGUGAGGUCACACUUUACACAGUCUCACAUUCACACUUCUUUGUAUCUUGCAGGGCGGCAUGUGCAAGAUGUAGAAUGGAACAGGUGUGGUGCCCAUAGGUCAUUUUCAUACCAUAUGCACUCAGGAUUUACACAAGCUCCAGUCUGGAUCCAGAAGACCUGAGAAGAGAUGAUGCCAGCCCCUCA